UUCAGGGUAAAGAGCAUCUAUUGAUAGUAAUAUUACAAAAGGAGACACACAGCGUAUCCUUUUUGAAAAUAGCUUUUACAUUGAAGGGAUGGAAGGUUUGGCAUAAAGUGCUAUUAACCUUCCAAAACAUUCACCUCGGAGGCUAAACUUCGCAGUACUUCAGCUUCAAUUCUGAGAAAUGUCUCUUUUCCACAACAACAUGAUAAGUGAGAGUGAAUGAAGUCCCUUGCGCAACAAAUGCAGGUUUGAGGAAUACCUCUUCAUCCAUCUUCAAAUAAUAAGAGAAUGGCAAUAAGAGACGUGAUCUGACUGAACUUCUCUCUAUGAAAGCAUUUUAAAAUAUGGCACUUUACCCAUGGUAUUUUCAGAGGACAUGCAAAAUGCAGCAGAAAUUUGGAAGAAUUGAAUACUGACAUCUCUAACAGAAACCAGUAGGUCUGCAAAGACUCGUAGUGUCCUUGACCUGAAAAAAAAACACAAAACAAAACAAAACAAAACAAAAAACAAAAAAACCCUAGAUUUCUUGUGUGAGCAGAGGGGGGAGGGGAAGGGGAGGGAGGAAUUAUAGAGAAUGACUUAGGUUGG